ACCUGGGUGGCUCAGUCAGCUAAGCAUCUGACUUUGGCUCAGGUCAUGAUUUCACAAUUUGUAGGUUCGAGUCCUGCAUCAGGCU
rnacentral:tRNA from 1 species